GAACUACUCCCUCCGUUCGGAAUUACUUGUCACAAAAAUGGAUGUAUCUACAACUAAAAUACAUCUAGAUACAUUCAUUUCUUGGACGAGUAAUUCCGAACGGAGGGAGUAAUAC
rnacentral:pre_miRNA from 1 species